GGAGACUGGGGGCCAGAGGCAGAGACCAGGAGGGAGCGAGAUGCCCCUGCAGUGGCCGGGGAUUGAUUUGAUCCCUCCUGGCUCUGCCAAGCCCACCACCCACAGCCGUGUGCUGUUCUGAGGGGUGACUUCGCUAGCUGCCAGCUCUGGAUGGUGCUUUGUGGAACAGAUGAAAAGCAUGCAGGUUAAGACAGGAACAACAGGAAGUGACAGCAACACAGGAAGCAGCAGAGCGUGGGUUCCUGGGAUUACAAGGCAUUUUGUGUUAUCAGAACCGUUUCCACUGCUACACUGGUGGGGAGAGAGAGAGAACAAGAGAGGCUUGUCUGAUUGCACCAGGAGGUUCUGGCACCCAUAGUUCCAGCUGACAUCAACGGAGCUGCAUCGAUCUACACUUGACUCUGCCCUGAAUCACAAUAACGUGCUACAAUAAGGAUUUCCUCGCAUGAUCUGACAGGGGACAAAGGGCCUUCACGCACCUGCCUUCUGAGACAGAAACUAGAACUCAGCCCCGGACAAAUGGUGGUACCUAUGGAUGGAGUUCAGUUCUUAAUGCAUCUUAACAAACAGGCAAGCACUCAAGAGUUUCUACUUACUCACCAUUCAUCUACUCCAGUGAUGACUUAAAGGACUGGAAAACCUGCCUUACAGUGAUAGACUCAAGGAGCUCAAUCUAACCAAGAAAAGCUAAGGGGUGACUUGAUCACUGCCUGAAAGUACUUGCGUGGGGAACAAAACUUUGAUAACGGGCUCUUCAGUCUGGCAGCCGAAGGUCUAAGAAGCUCGGCUGGCUGGAAACUAGACAAAUUCGGCCUAGACGCAAGGCGCACGUUUAUAACAGUCCGGGUAAUUAACCACUGGAACAAUUUACCAAGAGCUGCGGUGGAUUCUCCGUCUCUAGCCAUUUUUAAUCAAGACUAGAUGUUUUUCUAAACUCGUACACACAGGAAUUGAUUCAGGGACGUCCUAUAGCCUGGGUUAUACAGGAGGUCAAACUAGAGGAUCUCUACUGGCUUUAUAAUCUAUGAAACCCUGAUAGAUUGGCUCUAGACCAAUAAAUAAUAUGG